rnacentral:rRNA from 1 species
AUGGUUUCGACCAACCAGAGAGCAUUCAUUGCCGACCGGUGCAUCCACGACAACUUUCUGCUUGUCCAACAAAUGGUGCUUCUCCUGCACAACCUCAAGCUACCACGCAUGCUUCUCAAGCUUGAUAUUGUGCGGGCCUUUGACAGCGUCUCAUGGCCCUUACUUCUCAAGACCCUUCAACACCUUGGCUUUGGCCAACGAUGGCACGAUUGGAUCUCGAUCCUGCUCUCCACCGCCUCCACGCGUGUCUUGAUCAACGGGGGCAUGCGCCCUCCCAUUGGCCAUGCUUGCGGCCUUCAACAAGGAGAUCCAAUAUCCAUGGCAUCUCUAGCCCUUCGCAUCUCUAGCAGAUUAGCAGAUGCCCUAAACUUAAUCCCUCAAACCUUCUUCUUAUCUAGAAUGUCAAUUUUUAUUGAACUUCUGCUUAGCUAG